CUAAAAUAUGCUUCUAUCAGACUUCUGCCUCCCAUUACCAAACUGUUCUCAAGAGGUCACCAGUCACUUAUACUAACUCCACCGUCAAGUCUUGGUUCUCAAAUCAUCUAUCAGCAGUUCUUGGAUACUGUGUCCUUGAGAUACCUUCUUCAGUUGGUUUCUGAACCAGUAGAGCUUUAGUGAUAAUGGAUAUUCUUUGUGCUAUUCAAAUCAGUAGCUGCUAGCUAGAUGAAGGAAGCUAAUAUGACCGAGGAACUGAAUUUUAAACUUUAUUUAAAUAGUCAUACGUGGCAAGUAUUAAAUGGUUCAGUUCUAGCCGCUUUUGAAUUCUUCCUUAUACCUGCUUCUGACUUCUUGGCUGCUUCCUUCUAAACGUUGGUGUAUCCCAGUUCUCUUUUUUAUACUUACUCCUUUGGUCAUUUUAUUUAACCUAUCUUUCCCUAACCUUCUCUAGGUUGACUUAUACUUCCUCUUUGACAAAUAUUUGGAUGGAAAAUGUGUUUUAUUUGGGUGUGAAGGGGUUGCUUUUUAUGUGAAAUUGUAUUCUUUCCCCUGAAUUUACAUGACAGAGUAUUAAACUGUUAAUGUGGCUGAUCUGUGCUUAUUAAGUUCAAAGCAUGAGUUUUUAAGUUAAAAGUUAUUAGCCAGGUGUGGUGUCACAGGUGUUUUCCUGUGUAAUCCCAGGGACUUGGAAGGCUGAAUCAGGAGUAUUACAAGUUGGAGGCCAG
rnacentral:lncRNA from 1 species